rnacentral:rRNA from 1 species
GACGAACGCUGGCGGCGUGCUUAACACAUGCAAGUCGAACGGAAAGGCCCUGCUUUUGUGGGGUGCUCGAGUGGCGAACGGGUGAGUAACACGUGAGUAACCUGUCCUUGACUUUGGGAUAACUUCAGGAAACUGGGGCUAAUACCGGAUAGGAGCUCCUGCUGCAUGGUGGGGGUUGGAAAGUUUCGGCGGUUGGGGAUGGACUCGCGGCUUAUCAGCUUGUUGGUGGGGUAGUGGCUUACCAAGGCUUUGACGGGUAGCCGGCCUGAGAGGGUGACCGGCCACAUGGGGACUGAGAUACGGACCAGACUCCUACGGGAGGCAGCAGUGGGGAAUAUUGCACAAUGGGCGGAAGCCUGAUGCAGCAACGCCGCGUGCGGGAUGACGGCCUUCGGGUUGUAAACCGCUUUCGCCUGUGACGAAGCGUGAGUGACGGUAAUGGGUAAAGAAGCACCGGCUAACUACGUG